rnacentral:rRNA from 1 species
AACGUAGGAGGCGAGCGUUAUCCGGAUUUACUGGGCGUAAAGCGCGUGCAGGCGGCAUGGCAAGUUGGAUGUGAAAGCUCCUGGCUCAACUAGGAGAGGUCGUUCAAAACUGCCAAGCUAGAGGAUGGUAGAGGGAGGUGGAAUUCCGGGUGUAGUGGUGAAAUGCGUAGAUAUCCGGAGGAACACCAGUGGCGAAAGCGGCCUCCUGGACCAUAUCUGACGCUCAGACGCGAAAGCUAGGGUAGCAAACGGG